CCAUGGUGUCAGGAGUGCAGCCAAUGGACUUUGACACAGCUUCCUGUGUGAACUCUGGGUCAAAGUGUUUCAAGUCAGCAGGUCCUGCCUGUGAAUGCUGGAACCUGGGACCCUUUACCGGAGUGUGUGCACUUGUACUUAGACAAACACCCAGAGGAAUGUCUCAUCCAGCAACAGAAUACAAAGAAACUAUAAGGGACGAAAAAGAGCUGCACCCAUGCGCCGUGGGGACAAAUUAUGAGCUGAAAGAUACAAGAAGACCAAAAACCAACUGCCCCCUCUGGGAUGCUGGAAGAAAAAGCAGGGUGCUGUGCGUGAACCCUGCACACAACACCGCCAAGGGGGUGGGCAGACCACCUAAGCCACCUCUCCUACCUGACCCCAGAUUUGCCCUUACCCUCACCCCAUAUAAUGAAUCAGUCUGCCCUCCUCGGACAGCCAACAAGGGCACCUAUUACUUAUUUCUGCUCCCUCUUCCUACCUCACAAGUCCCAAUAAAGCCUUGCCUGAAUUCCCA